CGGCGCGGCGAUAGCUUGUUUAAUUACCAGUCCCCCCACGGAUCACUUAAGUUAAGCCACGUUGCGCGAGAUUAGUACCUGGAUGGUGACCAUCUGAGGAAACCCGUGCUACUGGGU
rnacentral:rRNA from 1 species